rnacentral:rRNA from 1 species
UACGUAGGUCGCAAGCGUUGUCCGGAUUUACUGGGCGUAAAGAGCGCGCAGGCGGCUGGUCAAGUCCGAUGUGAAAUCUCCCGGCUUAACUGGGAAACUGCAUCGGAAACUGAUCGGCUUGAAGGUGGGAGAGGGUAGUGGAAUUCCCAGUGUAGCGGUGAAAUGCGUAGAUAUUGGGAGGAACACCAGUGGCGAAGGCGGCUACCUGGACCGGUUCUGACGCUGAUGCGCGAAAGCGUGGGUAGCAAACAGG